rnacentral:lncRNA from 1 species
AACUCAAAAACAAGAACAAUGACAUAAGGACACGAUAUAGUUUUUAAUGAGCAAUUGUUUAAAAAGCCCUAAAGGCAGUUGUGGAGCCACUAAAGGGCCAGAAGGGACACAUUGGCCCCUCCUCAAGGUUUCAGUUGGUAUUCCAAAUAUACCCUUCAAGUAAGCAAGUCGAGAGAAGAAAAUAGUUGAAUCAAAAAUAAUUUUGUGUAAAAUUCUAUUUCUAUCAAUAGAGCAAUAUGAAUGUUCUAUCAUUUUCAUCAACAAAUUAAACGGUUCAUACGAGAUAUAUGGUGAUGAAAGUAAGGUAACAUUAUGGAAAGUAGGAAGUUUCCAAGGUCCAUGACAAAGUAAUUUAUUACUUCUUGAGGUUUUGUAAUGUAAUGCUAUCUUAUUAGGUUCAACCACUAUAGUGUCAGAACCAAAAGAUCCAAUCUGACUGGUGGUCAAAAUUUCUUCGAAUAUAUCUUUGAAUUCAUUUGAGAUGAGAGUUAAAACUUCAAAUGGAGAAGACUAAUUAGGUUCAACCACUAUAGUUGUUCAGAACCAAAGAUCCAAUCUGACUGGUGGUCAAAAUUUCUUCGAAUAUAUCUUUGAAUUCAUUUGAGAUGAGAGUAAAACUCCAAAUUGGAGAGAAAGAAGACCUAUGAUCCUUGCAUUCCCUUUAUUGGAACUAUGUUUCCAUUUAGUUUUUUGCUUUGAAUCGGCCAGGGGGAUAUUUUCCAUUGGAAAAAAUAUCAAUUACCUCAUGGGAGUUAGAUGCAUGUAUGAAUGAUAAAAUUAUAUCAUCCAAUACCUUCAUGGGAAAACAUUCAACCAACUCCAAUCCUUUUUACCUUUAACAUCUUAGAAGAUUUCACAAAACCUUUUUCACUGAUUUUUGACUUUUCUAGGGAAUAUAUUAGCCGAUGAAUUAGUAGUUGUGUUCUUGUGUCUUUAGUACCUUAGUGAUCCCCCUUUUUUUGUUCUCUCUCCCUUCAUACAUGCACCCAUCCCUCUGCUCUCCCUCUCUACAACCAAUGAUGUGGUGUAUCUUGUCGCUCACACCUCUUUGUAUUAUAUGACAUUAUAGUUACUAUGCCAUCACAAUUUUACUUGUCUAUAAUUUCAUUGCGUUGAAUUUUUUGCUAUCAUUAUUCAUUAGUGACUCUAUCAAAUGCAAUAGGGGUUGUCCAUAUUUGGUUUAAACCUUAUUCAGCCAUUUUUGCCUGGCAAAGUGACUUGCUAUUUUCAAAAGUUCAACAAAAGAUGAUCGAAAAAUAAGUCGCAAUGCGAUUCCAUUGAAUUAGGGGUUAUAGUGGUACAUGUGGGAAUUGAAAUAGACUCAAUUUAUGUCGGAUAGAGACACCCCAACACAGAGAGUCUUGGGGAAAACAAAAGAAUAUAUAUUUAUAGAGAGAGAGAAAGAGACUCACUGGUGGAGAUGGAGAUGACAGCAAGUCCAGUAAUUCUUCCAGUUCGUUCGCCAUUAUCGUUGCUGUCGGUGGUGUCGCUCAUUGAUUUGAAGAAAUAGGCAUUCUAUCCACCUCUAGACAACGUCGUUUUGUACUAUUCUGCUAUUUUCAGCCCAUAAACGACGUCGUGUGCUAUUGUUGUCAGGAAUUGCAAAUAGGACCCGAAAUUUAAUUCGUGUGGCGAAUUAGGCCCUAUGUUUCUAUUUUUCAUACCCUACAUUUGCGAUCACAACAAUCUUAGCCACCCACCUUCUGUGCCAACUUAACUAAGAGAUAAAGUUUUUGAAAUAUAUGCAUCACUUUUCAAAUAGUUCUAUCAACUUAUUGCCAUCUCAUCAGUCACACCUGAUAAUAACUUUAGAUUUAUCAAUCAUUUAACGUGUCAUCCAUGUUUCGUCAUGUUAGGUCAAGCCUUUCCCACAUCAUCUCCAACUUAGCCUUAUUACCGAUGACCUCCACACUCCCCUCUUACUACCUAUUUUUUUUAUUCUCCAUUCCUAGAAAGAAUCCAUGAUUCCACUCAUAUUUUACUAAAAUUAGUUAUUGCCAUAGAUUUUAUCCCAAUCUUAAUAAUUCCCCAUUCCUAUUGACCCUCGUUGCUAGCCAAUGUACAAUCAAGUGAAAACCAUCAUUGUAUUCAUUGUUGGAUAUCAAAUCCCCAUUAUUCUCUAUCUAAAAAUGUCUCUUUCCAAAAAGAAUAUCUAAAAUUCAAUUGAUUGUGAGGAAAAGGCGAGGAAGGUGGUUUAAGAGUGGGGGAGAGAAAGAUGGUUGCAUGGGUGGAGGAAGGAGGUGAUAGUUUGAGGAGUGUUAGACUGAAGAUUAUGGUCAUGGAAAGAGGGAAAAGAGGUCACAACAGUGGUCGUCAACUUGGGAAGGAUUGGUUGGAAUUGGAGGGAAUUAAAAGUGAAACUAUAAUAAAAGGCUAUAAUUUUUUGGGUCUCCUGAAUUAUUUUGUUUGCAUAUAGAAAGAUCCCAGUACUUAUGAGCAUAUUAAUACACACACGACCGAUCCUGCCGAUUCAACCGUUGAACUGGAACCGGACUAUGAA